UACAAGAAAUCUACAGAAUCCAUUUCUUAGCGUAAUAUUGCUUAGUGAGGAUCCAUGUUCUGAAAUGAUGAGAUGUGAAAGAAACUGCCUCAUUUCCUUUGAAGAUAUUGCUAUACCAGUUUACACUGAUCAGUUUUGUUUUGGCUUGUACUUUUGAGUAAAUAGGCUACUUUCUUAAGUUUGACCUGUGUCUGCCUCUGUGACCCGAUUCCUCUCUCUUCUGCAUCUCCUAGCCUCCACAACUUCAAAGAAUGCAUGCAAACUCCUAGGCCAAAGGAUGAAAUCAAUUCUGCGGGUGUCAAAUUAGUGAUGCAUGUGAAAACUCUUUGAACAGGAUGAGGAUCUAUGCAAACUCAAGACAGUUGUCCAGAUCCAUUCAUUAAAACCUGUUCUCUUUCCAUACCGCCGUAAUUCCAAGCCUUUGCACAGCAGAUCUCGAUAACCUUGUUUUACAAAUGGGUAUUUUCAGUAUGCAAAGAAUCACUUGGAGGAAAAGAGAUGAGUAGGGUCUGAAACCAAUACAG